rnacentral:rRNA from 1 species
UACGUAGGGGGCAAGCGUUGGUCCGGAUUUAUUGGGCGUAAAGAGCGUGUAGGCGGCCUAGUAGGUCAGCUGUGAAAACUCGAGGCUCAACCUCGAGCUGUCGGUUGAAACCACUAGGCUAGAGUCCGGAAGAGGAGAAUGGAAUUCCCGGUGUAGCGGUGAAAUGCGCAGAUAUCGGGAAGAACACCCGUGGCGAAGGCGGCUCACUGGUCCGGUACUGACGCUGAGGUGCGAAAGCGUGGGGAGCAAACAGG